GCCUUCAUGGUGUAGUGGUGUGGUCAGCACGCUCGGCGCGUAAUCAAGAUGUCCGUGGUUCGAGUCCCGGCGAAGGCG
rnacentral:tRNA from 1 species